AGAGUUUGAUCCUGGCUCAGGAUGAACGCUAGCGGCAGGCUUAACACAUGCAAGUCGAGGGGUAACAGGUUUUAGUUUACUAAGAUGCUGACGACCGGCGCACGGGUGAGUAACGCGUAUACAAUUUACCUCUUACAGGAGAAUAGCCCAGAGAAAUUUGGAUUAAUGCUCCAUGGUAUUAUAGAAUCACAUGGUUUUAUAAUUAAAGCUUCGGUGGUAAGAGAUGAGUAUGCGUCCUAUUAGCUAGAUGGUAAGGUAACGGCUUACCAUGGCGACGAUAGGUAGGGGUCCUGAGAGGGAGAUCCCCCACACUGGUACUGAGACACGGACCAGACUCCUACGGGAGGCAGCAGUGAGGAAUAUUGGGCAAUGGAGGCAACUCUGACCCAGCCAUGCCGCGUGCAGGAAGACGGCCCUAUGGGUUGUAAACUGCUUUUAUACAGGAAGAAACUUAUCCACGUGUGGAUAACUGACGGUACUGUAAGAAUAAGGACCGGCUAACUCCGUGCCAGCAGCCGCGGUAAUACGGAGGGUCCAAGCGUUAUCCGGAAUCAUUGGGUUUAAAGGGUCCGUAGGCGGGCAAUUAAGUCAGAGGUGAAAUCCCACAGCUCAACUGUGGAACUGCCUUUGAUACUGGUUCCUUUGAGUAUAGUUGAGGUAGGCGGAAUGUGUAAUGUAGCGGUGAAAUGCUUAGAUAUUACACAGAACACCGAUUGCGUAGGCAGCUUACUAAGCUAUAACUGACGCUGAUGCACGAAAGCGUGGGGAGCGAACAGGAUUAGAUACCCUGGUAGUCCACGCCGUAAACGAUGAUCACUCGUUGUUGGCGAUACACAGUCAGCGACUGAGCGAAAGCAUUAAGUGAUCCACCUGGGGAGUACGGUCGCAAGAUUGAAACUCAAAGGAAUUGACGGGGGCCCGCACAAGCGGAGGAACAUGUGGUUUAAUUCGAUAAUACGCGAGGAACCUUACCUGGGCUCAAACGUAGAGUGACCAUCUGUGAAAGCAGAUUUUCCUUCGGGACAGUCUACGAGGUGCUGCAUGGUUGUCGUCAGCUCGUGCCGUGAGGUGUCGGGUUAAGUCCCAUAACGAGCGCAACCCCUAUCUUUAGUUGCCAUCAGGUCAUGCUGGGGACUCUAAAGAAACUGCCUACGCAAGUAGUGAGGAAGGUGGGGAUGACGUCAAAUCAUCACGGCCCUUACGUCCAGGGCUACACACGUGCUACAAUGGUCGGUACAAAGGGCAGCUACCUGGUGACAGGAUGCUAAUCUCUAAAGCCGAUCUCAGUUCGGAUCGAAGUCUGCAACUCGACUUCGUGAAGUUGGAAUCGCUAGUAAUCGCGCAUCAGCCAUGGCGCGGUGAAUACGUUCCCGGGCCUUGUACACACCGCCCGUCAAGCCAUGGAAGCCGGGGGUACCUGAAGUCAGUAACCGCAAGGAGCUGCCUAGGGUAAAACUGGUAACUAGGGCUAAGUCGUAACAAGGUAACC
rnacentral:rRNA from 1 species